UACGAAGGGGGCUAGCGUUGCUCGGAAUGACUGGGCGUAAAGGGUGCGUAGGCGGAUGGCAUAGUCAGAUGUGAAAUUCCUGGGCUUAACCUGGGGGCUGCAUUUGAUACGUGUGAUCUGGAGUGAGGAAGAGGGUUGUGGAAUUCCCAGUGUAGAGGUGAAAUUCGUAGAUAUUGGGAAGAACACCGGUGGCGAAGGCAGCGACCUGGUCCUUAACUGACGCUGAGGCGCGAAAGCGUGGGGAGCAAACAGG
rnacentral:rRNA from 1 species